AUUGAACGCUGGCGGAAUGCUUUACACAUGCAAGUCGAGCGGCAGCGCGGGGGCAACCCUGGCGGCGAGCGGCGAACGGGUGAGUAACAUAUCGGAACGUACCCAGUCGUGGGGGAGUAACUAUCCGAAAGGAUAGCUAAUACCGCAUACGUCCUGAGGGAGAAAGCGGGGGAGUCGCAAGACCUCGCGCGAUUGGAGCGGCCGAUAUCGGAUUAGCUAGUUGGUGGGGUAAAGGCUCACCAAGGCGACGAUCCGUAGCGGGUCUGAGAGGACGACCCGCCACACUGGAACUGAGACACGGUCCAGACUCCUACGGGAGGCAGCAGUGGGGAAUUUUUGGACAAUGGGGGCGAACCCCUGAUCCAGCCAUUCCGCGUGAGUGAAGAAGGCC
rnacentral:rRNA from 1 species